rnacentral:rRNA from 1 species
GACGUAGGGGGCCAGCGUUGUUCGGAAUUACUGGGUGUAAAGGGUUCGUAGGCGGUGCGGCAAGUCGGGAGUGAAAUCUCUGGGCUUAACCUGGGAACUGCAUUCGAGACUGCAUUGCUAGAGUAUGGGAGAGGGAAGUGGAAUUUCCGGUGUAGCGGUGAAAUGCGUAGAUAUCGGAAGGAACAUCAGUGGCGAAAGCGACUUCCUGGACCAAUACUGACGCUCAUGUGCGAAAGCGUGGGGAGCAAACAGG